GAGCGCCAACCUCAAGCGACACGUGCGCACCCACACAGGCGAGCGCCCCUUCUCCUGCGUGUACUGCGAUGCAUCCUUUUCGCAGAAGUCGGACCUCUUCAGUCACAUGCGCCUGCACACAGGAGAGAAGCCAUACAGAUGUAGUCGGUGCUUUCGACUGUUCCGAACCCAGUCCCAACGUGCCAGCCACUUCAAAGAGUGCAAGGGUGUGCCCACCAGGGCUCCACAACUGCAUGCACAGCUUCAGCGAAGUCGACAGCCAGGGCCACAGCCGAAGCCACAGCCACAGCCGCCAGAGCUAGCAGGGCAAGCCCUUUCCGAUGACCUACUACCGCAGGCGUGCUCACCACAAUCUGCGGACCAGGACUCUCCACAGUUAGAGCCAGUGUCGCCACCACUGUCCCUCCUUUCGCUGUUGCCAACAUUGUAGCAGCUGCAUUGUCCAUUAUGGAGCGCUUAUAUCAGCAGGCUUAGGCAGGGCGCAUCACCCCUGCAUUGUUUUCGGUGAUGUAGUAUACACAGACAAUUAACAUUUCUGUUGCUUUUUUCACUUUUUUCCUUUUUCACGCUACCAUUCCGGUGAGUUGGCUUGUACAAAGCAUUAGCUCCGAGUGCCCAAAUGGAACAGAGCUGAAAUACAGAAAGAAAGUUCUUCGAAUUGUGCUUAUAUAUUGUUUUAUGCCAAAUAGCUGACAAAUGGCAUUUUUUUACUUUACGGUGUUUAUGGCUCUGCCUUAGCGUAUGGUGCAGGCUGUUGUGUCAACAGUAACAAAAUGCUGUUUGCAAGACGUUUCUUCUUAGGAUGUGUUAGUCUGCUUUGAGGAAAUAGGUGCGAAAGACGCUGUAGGAAGAAAAUGUGGAAUGUGAACUAGUUCAACGCUUUGUUAAGUCACUACAUAUUUGCCAUGCAAAUCGCUUGGAAUGCAGCAGCCUCAUCGUACUAUUUACAUGUUUAAGGGGAGAUGCUACUUGGAGAAAAAAAAUCUUUAUUAAAAAAUGGUCUGCCA